CCCAUAUUAUGAUCAAGCAUGAUUAUGAAAUACUAAGAAAAUAUUAUGGACUAAUUUGCAUUAAGAAAGAUUAGUUGGAGUAGAAGGAAAUUGGUUAGGAACUAACCAAGUGGCUAUUGUGUAAAUAUGGCUUAGUUUGAGGGCAUAAUGGACCUUGAGUAAUGUUGCAUGUUAUAAGGCCUUGUUUGGGUGCAUGCUAUUCAUUUUUGUUUCACAAUUCAGAAUUUGGAGCAAGAGAGAAAGGAGGAAGUUAUGUUCAUCAAUUCCAUUUUCGCACCCUAAGAACAGCCUCCACUAAAACAGCUUCUAUUUCGAAGGAGAAAACUGACCUUGAAGUUGUGUCAGUGAUGCUGAAAGUGGGUACAAGUGUGAUUACGGAUUUGAUGAAGAUGGAGUGAAACUUUGGCUAUGGUGGGAGUCCAAUGGCAGCAAACAUCAUCUUUCUAAACCUCCAUUUUAGCAAGGUGCAGUUAGUAGCGUUUGGUCAGUAACAGGUUUGGACUGAUGACUUGGAAGUGGUGUUGGCUCGAAGACCUCAUUGGUUUUGACAUUCCGCUGUGCAAGAUCCAUUGAAGACUUAUGUAUUAUGCUUCUUAGUAGAAUAUCAUGUUGUAUUUUAUAUGGAUCUUUCUACAACUAUAGCUUUUGUAUGUACUCAAUAUCAAUUUUAACGUUUCAUGCAUAAUAUACUAGUCAGUUAUGUAUGGGGUGUUACAGUUGGUAUCAGAGCAGGUCGAUUCUCGGCCGAGCCAUGAGACAUCACUAGCAAUUCCUUUUCCUCCUCUCAAGUGUGCGUUGCUAGCCUGAUUUUACUGAUAUCUCAUUCAGUUGUUGAACUUGAUCAACUCAUCGACUGAGUGUGAGACAGUAGGAUUACGGCAGAGCCGCCACGAGGACUCGUAAGCCUGUAAGG